GAUGAACGCUGGCGGCGUGCCUAAUACAUGCAAGUCGAGCGAACAGACGAGGAGCUUGCUCCUCUGACGUUAGCGGUGGACGGGUGAGUAACACGUGGAAAACCUACCUAUCAGACUGGGAUAACUUCGGGAAACCGGAUCUAAUACCGGAUAACCUGUUGAUCCGCAUGGUUCAACAGUGAAAGACGGUCUUGCUGUCACUUCUAGAUGGAUCCGCGCCGCAUUAGCUAGUUGGUAAGGUACCGGCUUACCAAGGCAACGAUGCGUAGCCGACCUGAGAGGGUGAUCGGCCACACUGGAACGGAGACACGGUCCAGACUCCUACGGGAGGCAGCAGUAGGGAAUGUGCGGCAAUGGGCGAAAGCAUGACGGAACAACGCCGAGUGAGUGAAGACGGUCUUCGGAUCGUAAAGCUCGGUUAUUAGGGAAGAACAAAUGUGUAAGUAACUAUGCACGUAUUGACGGUACCUGAUCAGAAAGCCACGGCUAACUACGUG
rnacentral:rRNA from 1 species